UUAAAGUAACAGCUAUUUGUUACUCUGUAAAUAUGUACAGAACUUUAUUUAUUUAUUAGAUUUUGACAUACACAUUGAAGGUAUACUUGUACUUUUGAAGUAUUGUUUGUGAAAUAGGAAAAAUAAGAUUUUUACUGUGAAUUUUCUUAUUAUGUCAAUAGAAAUCAUUGGACUUUUUCAUAGGCUGAUUUUGAUUUAUACAGCAUCACAUAAUUUCUACCUUACAUUUUACUCUUUUACUAAUUAUGAAGACUUUUUCAAUUAAAAGUAACAUUUUUGAUGUUCCUUGCACAUACAACUCAUUACAGGGAGGUAAUUUAAUUUCUAUUGGAAAAUAAAUAAAUUUGUUUCCCCCUUUUCAAAAAGAAAAUUUCCAUCCACAGUUAUAGUUUGUUAAGUUUGCAAUAAUAUUAAUGUGCUUAAGAUAACAACUAAAAUUAUUGAACUUCAUUCAUUAGAUUAUUUUUUUCUAGUCUUUUUCAUCAGUUUGACUUUAAAAGGUCUGGGAUUAAUACAUGAAUUUUUUAGACCAAGGAAAUGUUAAGCAUACACUUGUAUCAUAUAUGGAAUGACUGUAAUAUUUGUUCUGUCAAUGAAGAAAUAAAAUAAAAAAUUUGGUACACACUGAAUAACCCUUGUAGUGGGUUAUUUUAAAGUGCGCACCACAUUUUUUUAUGUUAUUUUGUAUAGACAGAAAAAAUGUUUCAGUCAAUCCUUAUUAUUCAAUUUAAAAUUCCAUUUCAAGCCAGAAUAAAUCAUGAAAAAACAAUGAUGACGUCACGGUCACAUGACAAAAUUAUGUCUAUGAGCUGAUAGACAAUACACUGUCAGCCAAUCAGAAGACGUGUUACAUCAAAAAUUAAAUUAUAAACCAAUGUCUUCUCAUCAGGAGUGUUCAGAUUGGUUUUAAAGAUAUGAUUUAUAUUACAAGUUUGAGGUCAUCAUCCAGUUGUGUGUUAUAACAUAAAUGUACUGAAUUUAAUAAUGAUUUAGUUUUGUUGUCACUAUUUGAAUGAUCUACUUUUGUUUCAUUACCACAUGUUAAUCCUUCAAUUCUCAUUGUUAUAGUGAUAUUAUAUAUAUUUCAAAUGGAAAGUACUAGAUCUCGAAUUAACUUAUCUUCGUUUGGAGUGUUAAUCUGAUUUGUUUUUGCAAAAUCGUUAUACAUUGCUUGUUAGAUCAUAGAUGGUGCUAUAGUACAUUAA
rnacentral:lncRNA from 1 species